AUGAGGAGGGUCAUGUUGCAGAUUCAGAAGAUGGUUUCGACAAUUCGUCCACUGAAACUUUGGGACAGGUGUACUCUAACACCAGAUAGUGUAGCUUCAGAAAAUAUUGCUUCAGCAGACAGGCUCAAAGGCAAGAGGAGAAUAAUAGGUGUUAUCACAAUUGAAAAUGAUGAAAUUCCUCCCAUCCCCCUAGUUAAUGUGGUCCCAUCAUCUGUGGCUGCUCGCACUAUGGACUCCCAGAAACCUUAUCCUGAAGUAAAGAAUGUGGUGAAGGACUUAUCUUCAUGCAUGAAAGAGGUUGAGAUAUUAUUCUUUAGGGCAUGUGAUUCUGGGAAACAAGUUCCAAUGAUUCUGGAAGAAGAUAAAAUCCAGUUCCGCCCUCUACUACCUGAAGAAAUAGCACAAGGAUCAAAGGUAUCAAAUUUUCUUGCGACCUUCCUUGUUUGCUGCAGGGAGGAAGUUUCUGUUCCUAAACGCCAGCAGCUCCAUCUGCAGGAAGUAUGA
rnacentral:rRNA from 1 species